rnacentral:tRNA from 2 species
GCCGGAUUAGCUCAGUUUUGGUAGAGCAACCGCCUUGUAAGCGGUAGGUCAUCGGUUCGAUUCCGUUAUCCGGCACCA